ensembl:lncRNA novel transcript, antisense to CBLB
CUCCACAGUACACAAUGGCCCCAGAGGAAGGCCCGCUCGCAGCACGUCAGAAAGGAAUUGGACUCGGAGAGAAAUGAGGGGCCUGGACUCUCCCGGGAACGAAAGUGGAAACGGGAAAGGAAAUGGACGAAGGGAUGCAAGGCACGAAGGAGCUAACCAAUAAGGGGUGGCAGGUGGGCGUGAGCGUCGGGACCGGGAGCCAAAGCCAUCUGGGGCUGAAAGGCGGGACUUCCUGCUUCGCUUACCUUCCUAGUCUUUUGUUUCAUAGCAACAGAGUAGUGGCUGGAAGGGUGUUGCUUCUCCGCUCUGGGCGGGUCCAACGCUGGAGAAAUUCAUCUCCCUAGGGCUGCCAAACCCUUCUACCCAGGACAGCAGCCAAACAGGUCUAUGACGUUGCUUCUUGUUGGCUAUCAAAAAGAGCAACAGCCACUGAGCUUCUAAAAUGCAGAAUAAAUCUCACAGAGAGUAGGCUGGGGUGACAUCUGAAUGCCAACUGAAACUUCCCAAGUUUCCGAGUUUCUCUUUUGCUGUUAGUUUUAGAGGGAUUGCAGACCAAACAUCAGGCUGAUGAAAAAGCAAAUAGUUGACAACGCUGGCCAAACAGUCUCUGCUAAUCAUGCCAAAGCAAUAAAAGUACCAGAUAAUGGGAAUUGCUGAUAAAUACCUUGCACCUUUUUACUUAGUGCAAGUUUCUGCCUAAAUGACUGAGGAGGAGACAGCUACUGUGUUUUGUCGGAGUCACCUUUACAUAGAUUUCUAUCCAUUUAAAAACAACCUUACUGUAGCUGCCAUUCUCUACCAGCAUUGUUACCUCUUUCUGUGGCUCCCUUCUUUGUGCUCUUAAAAAGGCCGACAUCUGGCUAGUCUUUAAAGGAGAAAGCUACUGUGCUGGGACUUGUCUUUCAGCAAUAUCAUAGGUUAAACAAAUGCCUUCCAUUUAUUUCAGUUUACUUCAAUCCCACCACUCAUGCUACCAACAAUUGCUCUGGACUUCAUACUUUGGAACUUUCUUUCCACUACAGUUGAUAGCGUUUAUUACACUUUUCAGCUUGGACAUCUCAGAUGUUCUGAUAUUUUACAUUGGGUUUUUUGUUUUUGAUUUUGUUUUUUCAAAUCUUGCUCUAACCACGUAACCUGAUAAAAUGUUUCUCAAUGGUUCUAACCACUUUCUAGCAACUAAGAAUUUUAAUACUGUAAUUAUUACUAUGAAGGAUCCUGAGUUUUCCUUUACAGCCUUGAAUUUACAUGGUUAAGAUUUUAAUUUGACGAAAACAGAAAAAAAAUGUGCCUUUGCAACCAGUCAGGUGAUAAAGUGUGAUUCAGGAAGUAA